rnacentral:lncRNA from 10 species
CGCGAGCGUCUGGGCGGGUGGUAGGUGAGUGGGUAUUGCGGGCUAGUAUCCGAGCAAAAGAUGGUGGCGCAGGCCGAGUUAAGAGCUUUAAUCCUGUGAAGACAUCUUAGUGAAGAGUUUAGAGUGCUGAGAGUUGAAAGCUUGCACGUGGGAAACGUGCGGCCGGACUGCCACAUGUACUGAGGUUGAGUCGUGACGGCCACAGGCUCCGAGUUUUGGCGUGAGGAACCGCUGAUCGGCCACGGGCGCCGAACUUGCUGGCCUCCGGCAUGUGCCUGAGCGGCGGCGGAAAAACCACCUUAAUUGGGGCGGAGGGUUAGUUUUAACAGCAAAGGGCCUUUACUAAAAUGGCGAAGGCCUUCCGUCGGCGUUGUUUUAAAAUGGGAAGCCUCGACCCUGUAUUGAAACUGAGCUGUUCGAAGGCGGCGUUGUGUGCAAUUCGGAUUAAUGAAGGGGAAGGGUUUUGUGUGGAAAAACGCCUUGGAGUGUGACAUUUCUGCGAGAAUGCUUAAAUACCGAUUUCCCGCAGGAACAAUGGCGCUGUCUUCAGUGGCACAGUGGAGCAGCUCUGAAGAUGCAAAGUGAGGGUCGCUGUCUGCCCAUUGAUAGAGGCCAGAUUGUCUUGGAAGUUCCAAAGUUGCAACGAUUUCUUUAGUUGAAUCCAUGGACAUGAAACCCACAGAUAUAGAGGGUUGGCCCGGUGCAGUGGCUCACGCCUGUAAUCCCAGCACUUUGGGAGGCCAAGGCGGGUGGAUCACCUGAGGUCAGAAGCUUGAGACCAGCCUGGCCAACAUGGUAAAACCCCAUCUCUACUAAUAAUACAAAACAAUUUGCUGGGCAUGGUGGUGCACGCUUGUAAUCCAAGCUACUCCAGAGGCUGAGGCAGAAGAAUCGCUUGAAUCCGAGAGGCAAAGGUUGCAGUGAGCCCAGAUCACACCACUGCUCUCCAACCUGGGCAACAAGAGCAAAACUCCGUCAAAAAAAAAAGAUACAGGGUCAACUGUACACAUUAAACACUUCUAUCAACU